GAAAGAGCGGCCAUAGAAGGUGAUAGCCCUGUAUCUGAAAGGGCCAUUCCAGUGAAGACGAGUAGGGCGGGGCACGUGAAACCCUGUCUGAACAUGGGGGGACCAUCCUCCAAGGCUAAAUACUACUGACCGACCGAUAGUGAACCAGUACCGUGAGGGAAAGGCGAAAAGAACCCCGGAGAGGGGAGUGAAAUAGAACCUGAAACCGUGUGCGUACAAGCAGUAGGAGCUCCGCAAGGAGUGACUGCGUACCUUUUGUAUAAUGGGUCAGCGACUUACUGUUCGUGGCAAGCUUAACCGUAUAGGGGAGGCGAAGGGAAACCGAGUCUGAUAAGGGCGCAUAGUCGCGGGCAGUAGACCCGAAACCGGGUGAUCUAGUCAUGCCCAGGGUGAAGGUGCGGUAACACGCACUGGAGGCCCGAACCCACUCCCGUUGCAAAGGUAGGGGAUGAGGUGUGAUUAGGAGUGAAAAGCUAAUCGAACCCGGAGAUAGCUGGUUCUCCUCGAAAGCUAUUUAGGUAGCGCCUCAUAUGUAUCCUCUCGGGGGUAGAGCACUGUUAUGGCUAGGGGGUCAUCGCGACUUACCAAACCAUUGCAAACUCCGAAUACCGAGACGGACUGUAUGGGAGACACACGGCGGGUGCUAACGUCCGUCGUGAAAAGGGAAACAACCCAGACCCACAGCUAAGGUCCCAAAUUCACUGCUAAGUGGAAAACCAUGUGGAAAGGCACAGACAGCCAGGAGGUUGGCUUAGAAGCAGCCACCCUUUAAAGAAAGCGUAAUAGCUCACUGGUCGAGUCGGUCUGCGGGGAAGAUUUAACGGGGCUAAGCAGUGAACCGAAGCUUGGGGUGCAUACUUUGUAUGCGCGGUAGAGGAGCGUUCCGUAAGCCGUUGAAGGUGGAUUGAGAAGUCUGCUGGAGGUAUCGGAAGUGCGAAUGCUGACAUGAGUAACGAUAAUGCGGGUGAAAAACCCGCACGCCGAAAGCCCAAGGUUUCCUUGCGCAACGUUAAUCGGCGCAGGGUGAGUCGGCCCCUAAGGCGAGGACGAAAGUCGUAGUCGAUGGGAAGCAGGUUAAUAUUCCUGCACCUCGCGUAAGUGCGAUGGAGGGACGGAGAAGGUUAGGUGUACCAGGCGUUGGUUGUCCUGGGGAAAGGCGGUAGGUUUGGAUCUUUGGCAAAUCCGGGAUCCUUUAAGACCGAGCACCGAGACGAGCCUUUAUGGCGAAGUCACUGAUACCACGCUUCCAGGAAAAGCUCCUAAGCUUCAGCUUACGCAGACCGUACCGUAAACCGACACAGGUGGGUAGGAUGAGAAUUCUCAGGCGCUUGAGAGAACUCGGGUGAAGGAACUAGGCAACAUGGCACCGUAACUUCGGGAGAAGGUGCACCCUUUUUGGUGGCUCGUGCGAGCUAUAGCUGAAGAGGGUCGCAGUAACCAGGCCGCUGCGACUGUUUAUCAAAAACACAGCACUCUGCAAACACGAAAGUGGACGUAUAGGGUGUGACGCCUGCCCGGUGCUGGAAGGUUAAUUGAUGGGGUCAGCCGCAAGGCGAAGCUCUUGAUCGAAGCCCCAGUAAACGGCGGCCGUAACUAUAACGGUCCUAAGGUAGCGAAAUUCCUUGUCGGGUAAGUUCCGACCUGCACGAAUGGCGUAACGACAGCGGCGCUGUCUCCACCCGAGACUCAGUGAAAUUGAAAUCGCUGUGAAGAUGCAGCGUUCCCGUGGCAAGACGGAAAGACCCCGUGAACCUUUACUAUAGCUUUACACUGAACGUUGAGUUCGUCUGUGUAGGAUAGGUGGGAGGCUAUGAAACUGUGGCGCUAGCUGCAGUGGAGCCAUCCUUGAAAUACCACCCUGUCGUGCUUGACGUUCUAACCUGGGCCCAUUAUCUGGGUCGGGGACCGUGUAUGGUGGGUAGUUUGACUGGGGCGGUCUCCUCCUAAAGAGUAACGGAGGAGCUCGAAGGUACGCUCAGCGCGGUCGGACAUCGCGCACUGUGUGCAAAGGCAUAAGCGUGCUUGACUGCAAGAUCGACGGAUCAAGCAGGUAGGAAACUAGGACUUAGUGAUCCGGUGGUUCUGUAUGGAAGGGCCAUCGCUCAACGGAUAAAAGGUACUCCGGGGAUAACAGGCUGAUACCGCCCAAGAGUUCAUAUCGACGGCGGUGUUUGGCACCUCGAUGUCGGCUCAUCACAUCCUGGGGCUGUAGUCGGUCCCAAGGGUAUGGCUGUUCGCCAUUUAAAGUGGUACGCGAGCUGGGUUCAGAACGUCGUGAGACAGUUCGGUCCCUAUCUGCCAUGGGCGUUGGAGAUUUGAGAGGGGCUGCUCCUAGUACGAGAGGACCGGAGUGGACGAACCUCUGGUGUUCCGGUUGUCACGCCAGUGGCAUUGCCGGGUAGCUAUGUUCGGAAGCGAUAACCGCUGAAAGCAUCUAAGCGGGAAGCGCGCCUCAAGAUGAGAUCUCCCGGGGCACAAGCCCCCUGAAGGAACCAUGUAGACUACGUGGUUGAUAGGUCAGGUGUGUAAGUACAGCAAUGUAUUGAGCUAACUGAUACUAAUGAUCCGUGCGGCUUGACCAU
rnacentral:rRNA from 1 species